GUUACUUUGAGAAGCUAAGCAGAGGCUGAGUCCCAGGCACCUUGAAACAUGGUUGCGGCAGGAAUCCUGUCAACUAGCUAACAACCAGUGUCCUAUCCUAAACUUGAGUUUCAUGAAGAUUAAGUGACCUAUCCAUUGCCUCCAGAAGAAGCAUCUUUCACUGCAACUCUGUUUGCAUGGAAGUGAGCCUAUUUAAUGGAUGUUGAUGGUGACAGUGAUGACAACAACGACAAGAGUCCCUGUUGAAGGAAUGAUGGGAUGAGGAUGUGUGAAAAAGGACACAGUUAUUUCAACUCUAAGCAAAAAGGAAGCUUACAUACCCAGGCUGCAUGCCAGGCACCCUUCUUCACAAGGCACACAUUCUUCGUAGUCUGGGUCUUGGACUUCACCUGCACAGCAAGAGGAGUAAAAUACACUUUCAUUUUCACUGAGCAAAGAUACAUUAAUUGCUAUAAAAAUAUGUUGGUGUGUAGCUUAUUUUCAAGCAAAUCAUAGAGGAGUUAUGAAACCCAAAAGCAUUCUUGAAGAUGUAUGUGUCGCCCAUUUGAAAUCAAGUUGGGGACCAGGAAGAUAAGAAUGGAUUGAAUGAAAAGAGCAGUAUCUUUGUACUGGAAGUUGAAAAGUUUUCCUCCGGCUCCUUUUGGCACCUGUGGAAGCUCAAAGACUUGGGGGCUUUAGAGAUCCCACGAGAAUAAACAAAGGCUUGAUGAUAGACGCGUUUCUGUGACAGUACAAUCUUUGAGAAUGAGUUUGAAUUCUGUGAUCAGAAUCACGCGCUUGUGUUAACUGUCUCAGGUCUGAAUUUUUGCCCAGCUACCAAUUCCUGUAAUGACAGCCUAUUGAACUGCUUGACCAAGCACACCUCCUUGGCCUCUUUGCAUGAAUUCCUGGAGGUUCCUGAGCAUCUGUCAACGUUGGGCUCUACCAGGAAAGAAUAAGCAGUACCCCAGUAUGAGGCUGUGGGAAUUUGUUCCUACAGGGGACCCAGUGUUGCUACUGGAGGGAAUGGACAAUUCUAAUCUAUUAUAAAUGAUCAUAAUUAAUGAGAAAGGAUUCUAAUCCGUUAUAAUCAUACACAUACUACGCACACACAAGAUUAAUGUAGAUGCACCCAGACCUUGCACCCACUAUCUUUCUGGAGUUUUUGCUUGUGCUGAGUGGACUGAGGGCAUCCAUCUUCUCUGAAUCAGGUCUCCCAUGUGCCCCUGCCUCUGAAGAACAGCUGAUCUGUGUUACCCAAAAUAACUGGGUCCAGCCUUCACUCAUCACGUGAUCUACCACACGAAGAUCCAGAACCAGUGACCUUCAAGAUUCAAGGCUGCUGAUUUUGUGGAUAAAGAUAGCCUGAACCCCAUAUUACAAGUGCAAAAUCCCAAGGUCAGUAUAAUAGUGGAUUGAACCACAUGCAAUGGCCAACAUCUGGCUAUUUUUUACCUAUAAUCUCGGCACUUUCAAAAGGUUUAACCUAAUGUUUGUAUUUAAUUAAAGCCCUAUUUCAAAUGCAAUUUAAAAAUCACAUGCUUGGAUUAUGGACUCUAAAGCUACCAUUUUUUCUGAUGGUGAUUUCAUGCCAGAAGUCAGCUGGUCUCCUUGAGACAAAGAAAAUCAAGAGUCCAAAGAGGUGGUAGAAAAAUUGUUCACAGUCUCCAAGUUAGACUUAGAACAGCGUUGUGGAGUACAAAACCCCAAUUUGAUGGAACCUGGAAUCUCAAGAGACCAGAAAAAGGUCACCCUUCCAGCUUAUGUUCUUCUCAGGCAUACUGAGGAACCCUAGUAAACCCCAUUUCCACCAGGACUCAUCGAGAAAGUGCCUGUUUUUCAGAGGAUCAGAAUUCUCUCGUGUAGUUAGGAAGAUGUGUGGGAGAGCAGGGAAAAUCGUACCCUCCAUCCAGCAGUUGCUACACAUCCUCCACCCCUUCACGUGAUAUCAACUCAGGGUCCAGCAGCCUGGGGGCAGCCUGGUGUCUGGAGGCACAACCAGUGGAGCAGUGGGAUUAUCAGUCCAGGCAUCUUGAGCAAGAUAAAGAGCAAAGGAUCCAGGAUGGACAAGGUAGGAAGACGUAGAUCUUGCUUACAUGGCUGAUAAAAAUGAUUUGUGU